rnacentral:lncRNA from 1 species
AUUUCCUGUUGUUGUGAAGAUUGCAUUUAGAUUGAAUCUAGACGGGACUCGAGUUCGUGCCACGUUACGCUACGGUGCGUUAGCCUCAAAUGUGUUCCCUGUCAUUUCUCGGUAAAGUGCUGUCCCUCCAUGGAUUCACUCAAGUAUUUGAGCUGAAGUAGAAUAAUCGAAAGGAACAUAGUUGUCGGCAUCUGUAGUAGAUGUGCAGCGUCUAAAUCUCAGAAAGAGAGAUAGUGUUAUUUUAGUCUAAUACGGCGUAACUGCAUUAUGCAGAGUGGAGCCUUUUUUCUCGCUCGCAAAUAAAAUAAUGGGAGAGAAAUGAGAAGGAAAACAAAAGCGCAGCGAAUUCUUGACUACGAAAAUGAAGAGGAUGAGGAAGAGGAACAAAAAGCGGACUGCUUCAGCAACGGUGCACAGAAACGAAGAAAAAUGUUUUCCUCCAAAGAAAAAGCAGAAGAAAAUAGCUCAUCCGACGCCGGGCUUCAGAAGUUAACGUUAGACAUGAAGGUUAAUGAGCUGGAUUGUUCUUCCGCAGACCUCUAUGCUGACAGUCCUCCUACGUCCGAGUCUGAGGAGGCUCAUUAUUUACAGUCCUAUUCGAAGAAGGAGCUCAUUGCCAUGGUCUUAUGCAUGCAGAGGGAAAUGGAGGACUUGAAGGAACAACUUAGGUGCCUUACAGCAUGUGGAAAGCUAGCAAGAAACCUGGAAGUGCUGAUUGAGAAGACCCAGAUGUGGUCAAAUGGGAACAACGGGACCUCUCUCGGGACCCCGGUUUCUCAAGGCACGGCGCAGGCACCUGCCGAGGCGGAUGCUGUGAUACCAGAUGUACGUUCUCCUCCAACCAUUAUGAAUGGGCAAUGGUUGAAUCAGGGUCCAGGACCACAGAAACCUCAUGAGGCCACUCAGAAUGCUCAGAGGGAUGGGCUCUUCACAGAGGUAGUCUAUAAGCGUUUAAGACAUUAUAAGACAUUAUAGUCAGAGGUUGCGCAACAAACAAUCAUUAUUCGUAAUUGGGUCAUUAUUCGUUCAACCACUUGGGUUGAACAUUUUCUGUCAUGCUCUAGUCUAAUUUCAUCC